CAGUAGCCGCGGUAAGACAGAGGAUGCAAGCGUUAUCCGGAAUGAUUGGGCGUAAAGCGUCUGUAGGUGGCUUUUCAAGUCCGCCGUCAAAUCCCAGGGCUCAACCCUGGACAGGCGGUGGAAACUACCAAGCUGGAGUACGGUAGGGGCAGAGGGAAUUUCCGGUGAGCGGUGAAAUGCGUUGAGAUCGGAAAGAACACCAACGGCGAGAGCACUCUGCUGGGCCGACACUGACACUGAGAGACGAAAGCUAGGGGAGCAAAUGGGAUUAGAUACCCCCGUAGUCCCUGUCUCUUAUACA
rnacentral:rRNA from 1 species